AAAUACAUGUCAGAAAAAUGAGGGAAAGAACGGAGCAAACUAUGCAAACGGCAAAGCAUAACAGUUAUAUUUAGCUCCUGGCUGACAGCAGGCACAAGCUCUUAUGGUGUGUUUACAUUGUUCAUGGCUCAUUGUGAAGAUUUUCUUCAAUAAAACGUGUGAAACAUCAGUGCGAGCGACCAUCAUUCAGCCAGGGAUGCUACACAGGUAAAAGCCAAACUUUGCUCCAUAAAUCUGUCAAUCUUCAGCUCUGUCCAACCAACCGAGACAUCAAGAGGAAACAGAUCUCUGUCUAAAGAAUAUCUCAGACUGUGAACUCUGUUCAUCUACAGAGGGAAAUAAUGUUCUCUGAACAUUUUAUGAAGAUGUUUAUGUCUCCAACAACCAGAGUUUUUGGUUUGAGACAUAAUCUGUCUCAGAGAGCAGCUUCAUUUAUCCAACUGUGUGAAAACAACGAAGCCAGGAUGAGACAGAUUGUAGGUGAGCUUCAAUACUUCGAUGCUGAUAGAAGAGACAUCAACGAGGAGACAAAGCGGAGUCUUAUUACAGGUGGACUUAUUGCAAUAGUUGGAGCUGUGCUUGCAAGAUCAGCAGCAUCUGUUACAGCAGGCUUGGCUUUGAUUGUGUAUGUAUUAUUUGCUGUUGCUGGAUGUAUUUGGGCUUUGGGUUUCUUUCUUAAACAGAUGUACUUAGAACAGCAAAUUAUUACAAAAAUGAACAGACUACAACAAGAGUUCAGGUUGAUUGUUAGACCUCUGAAGAAUGCGCUGGAACCUGUACAAGCUGCAUGUGGAAGGCUUCAUAAAGCACUGGACGGACCGCAGACCUUAAAAUUCAUCAGGCUGGAAAUCAACAUCCUGGAGCUGUUCUUCAUCACGGCUAAACUCAGAACGUCUACAAUCAUGUCCUGGGUUGAAGAAGAAGCUGGAGAGUAUCACAAAGUUGCUGAUGAGUUUAUCAGGAUAAAAAAUGAUCUGCAAACGUUUUAUAUGUAGCAAGUAACGUAGAUGAAACCUGAAAUGAUUUAAGUUUAUUAACAUUCAAGUUCACAGCUGAUGCCUUAAUAUUACAAGUCCAAAUAAUCAUAAUUAAAAAAAAAAACAUGACAAAUAAAUGUAAUGACACAAGUCUUCAAGAU